rnacentral:tRNA from 1 species
GGCCCGUUGGUCAAGUGGUUAAGACACCGCCCUUUCACGGCGAUUACGGGGGUUCGAAUCCCCCACGGGUCACCA